rnacentral:snRNA from 2 species
AUACAUUUCUCCACCUUUUGGCUAAGAUCAAGCGUAGAAUCUGUUAUUAUCAGUUUAAUAUAUAUGAGCUAUAUGUCCACUUUGAUAUUAAAUUUAUUUUUUAGGAAGAGUCCACUACAAUGGCUUGCUAUUGGGGCUCUUGUGCGUCACCUAGGUGUUGCACUGCUGCCUAGACCUGGUGCACCCCAA